rnacentral:rRNA from 1 species
UACGUAGGGGGGCAAGCGUUUGUCCGGAUUUAUUGGGCGUAAAGAGCGUGUAGGCGGUCAGGUAGGUCCGUUGUGAAAACUCGAGGCUCAACCUCGAGACGCCGAUGGAAACCAUCUGACUAGAGUCCGGAAGAGGAGAGUGGAAUUCCCGGUGUAGCGGUGAAAUGCGUAGAGAUCGGGAGGAACACCAGUGGCGAAGGCGGCUACCUGGACCAGCACUGACACUGAGGCACGAAAGCGUGGGGAGCAAACAGG